CCACGUUGAUGCCCAGUCACGCCCGGUGCGCCCGCCUCCGAGGCUUUGGGAACGUGUUCCUGCAUUUCCAGUGCUGUUCCCGGGUCUCCCACAAAAGUCCACACGUGGACAAACAGGCCGAAUAAACGUUGCAGGCUGGGGAGUCGGGGGUUAAGGCACCAGCAGCUUCAGUGUCUGGCAAGGCCUCACUUCCUGAUUUGUACACUGGUGAUUGGGAAAACACGUCUUUACAGCGAAGAGAUCGGAGGGUCAGCACCCUAACCACGUGAUUCCCAGCGUCGCUACUAAUGCUAUAAAUUGGGGGAAAAGGCACUGAUUUCAGGUUUCCUCAGGAGGCUGCAACUUCCUUGAAUCAGUAUUUCUCCAAAAUCUCUUACUGUGCCUUAACAACCAUUUGCUGAAAGACUAAAUGAAUGAGAAUUCAAGUAAAGCUUUAACCAAAAAAAGCAAGGAUCCAAUAAAUAUGAAGUUGUUUAAGAAGUAUUUUCUGGACUACGGGCAGCGCACCAGCUGUUUUCUAAGCUACAGUGCAAGGGGCUCCUCGGGGGCGGAGAUGAUUGGAAAGAAUUUCAGAAACACUCGUGUCGGUGUAAGCACCGCCUCUGCUUGAUCUCAAUGGACACUGCAGCGAUUCCACUUAAACCAGCUCAACAAAUACUGAAUAGGAAGCUUCCACACAUCAAGCCAUUGGGAAGCAAUGACUGAACAAGACAGAACUGGUUGAUAGCUUUCAGUCACCUAAUUCAAAGGGAGUCUAGAAAAUUCUUCAAGUCAAAACUGGUUUCUAUUCCCACCCAACCUACCAAGCGACACAGAGAGGCACCAGUAAUAAGAAAGUCAGGUUCACCGGUGAUCUCAUAUUCUCAUGGAAACGAUAAAUGCUAAGUACUGCCUUCUGAGGCCUGACAAGUUUUAGCGUGAGGCUGAGAGGCCAAACAUCUAGUUAUUACACCUCUGGAGAGAGAAGGGAAGAUCCAUUAGAGUGAUACAUGGGUUUCAGUUGCAGAGCCAAUUAAUAUUUCAGCAUAUAAAGGGAGCAGCUGAAUGAGAGAGACCCAGUGCUGUUACAAAAGGACCCGAUGCUGUUAGAGGGCAUGAGGGCUUGCUCUCAGGUGCAGGCGGGACAACAAUGCAGCCACCGGCCCCUUCUGCAAAGCCCUGUGUGUGGGCACAGAGCCCCGCACGCUUCAGUGCACGCCAGCUUGUCUGAAGGGCUUACUCUCGACUUUGCCAUCACCCAGACCAUCCGC